UGGUAAUUUUAAGGAAAUUUUGUCGUUUUUGAUUAUUUUCUAUUAUUAUAUUAUAGAGAUCAACUGUAAACAGCAAUAAUGUUCAGCAAAGUAAGAUCUACAAAUAAGUCAACAUGACCAAAAUUGUCAAUUGACCCCUUAAGAAGUUAUUGCCUUUUAUAGUCCAUUUUUAACAAUUUUUUUGUAAAUUUUUGUCAUCUUUUACAAAAGUCUUCACCUCUGAAACUACUGUGACAAAUUUAAUCAAACUUGGUCACAAUCAUCAUUAGGGUACUAUAUUUAAAAAAUGUUUCUGAGGACCCUGCCCGCAAACCAAGAUGGUGACAUGGCUAAAAAUUGUACAUAGGGGUUAAAUCCAUUUUUUUGCUCAUAUCUCUAGCAUUUAGAGCAAAUCUGACGGGAUACAAUUGUUCAUUAGGUCAAGAUCUAUCUGCCCUGAAAUUUUCAAACCAAUCGGCAACUGUGUUGGGUGCAACCCCUGA
rnacentral:lncRNA from 1 species